UCCUCAUGUGGCCCUUGUGGUCAUUUGAGUUUGAGACCUCUGGCCUAGAUGAACCUGCUAUACAGUGCGUGCACAACUGAUUGGAAAACCAUACUCAGAGAGAGUAAUUAUCAAUGGUUCACAGCCAAGUUGGAAAGGCGUAUUGAGUGGGGUCCCACAGGGAUCUGUCUUGAGUCUGGUUCCGUUCAACGUCUUUAUCAAUGAUUUGAAUAAUGGCACAGAGAGCACACUUAUAAAGUUUGCAGACAAUACCAAGCUGGGAGGGGUUGCAAGUGCUUUGGAGGACAGGAUUAGAAUUCAAAAUGAUCUGGACAAACGAGAAAUGAUCUGAAGUAAAUAGGAUGAAAUUCAAUAAGGACAAGUGUGAAGUAAUCCACUUCAGAAGCAAUAAUCCACUGCACAAAUACAAUAUGGAAAAUGAGUGCCUAGGGAGGAAUACUGCAGAAAAGGAUCUGGGGGUUAUAGUGGAUCACAAACUAAAUAAAAGCCAACAAUACCAAAAAAACCCAAAACAUCAUUCUGGGAUUUAUUAGGAGGAGUGUUAGAAGCAAGAUGUGAGAAGUAAUUCUUCCACUCUACUCAGCACUGGAGUACUUUGUCCAGUCUGGGCACCACACUUUGGAAAAGAUGUGGACAAAUUGGGGAAAGACUAGUGGAGAGCAACAAAAAUGAUUAAAAGGUCUAGAGGAAAUAUAGGAAAAAUUGGGUUUGUUUAGUCUGAAGAGGAGAAGACUGAGGGAGGACAUAACAGACUUCAAGUACAUAAAAGGUGGUUAUAAAGAGGAGGGUGAUAAAGUGUUCUUAUCCACUGAAGACAGGACAAGAAGUAUUGGGUUUAAGCUGUAGCAAGGGAGAUUUAGGUUAGACAUAAGGUAAAGCUUUUUAACUGUCAGGGUGGCUAAGCACUGGAACAAAUUACUGGGAGGUUGUUGAAUCGCCAUCAUUGCAGGUUUUUAAGUGCAGGUUAGACAAACACCUGUCAGUGAUGAUCUAGAUCGGGGUUCUCAGACUUCUGUACUGGUGACGCCUUUCAGCAAGCCUCUGAGUGCGACCCCCCCCUUAUACGUUAAAAACACUUUUUUGAAAAAUUUAACACCAUUAUAAAUGCUGGAGGCAAAGCAGGCUUUGGUAUGGAGGCUGACAGCUCACGACCCCCCAUGUAAUAACCUCACAACCCCAUGAGGGGUCUCGACCCCCAGUUUGAGAACCCCUGAUCUAGAUAAUACUUAGUUCUUCCAUGAGUUCAGGGGCCUAGACUAACUUUCCAGUCCUGUAUUUCUAUGAUUCUAUUAUUGGGGUUCUGGCUAUAUGAAAGAUGCCUCUCACCAAGCCUUACUGUAGCCGCUGAGAUCUGCUGAAGCACUCAAGCUAACAGUCCUGAAAUGUAAACAUCAGGGAAUUCUGAUGAUCCUCAGAGAGUCAUUAACUGUGAAGUGAGCUGUAGCUCACGAAAGCUCAUGCUCAAAUAAAUUGGUUAGUCUCUAAGGUGCCACACGUACUCCUUUUCUUUUUGCGAAUACAGACUAACACGGCUGUUCCUCUGAAACCUGUCAUUAACUGUAGAAUUCACUUCUGUUGAUCUGUAGGAGCCUGAGUUUGAUGACCCCUAACUUUAAGGAUUUUUGCUCAGGAUUUUGGUUGAGGGAGGACUAGGGAACAGGUUCAAGCAUAUGUGGAAGAGAGCUUUUUGUUGAAAUAAUGGAACAAGUCUUAAAAGGAGCCAAGGUAUAGAUAAAGAUUCUCAAACCCAUGCAGACAAUCACAGAGAAGCUUUCUGCAUUCCAUAGUCCUGAAAAAGGCUUAUCUUCACAUUCCCAUUCUACCAUCCCACAGAGCAGUCCUCUGAUUGGCAAAUGGAUGGCAGCUAUUUCAAAUCUAAUAGUUACCAUACUGCCUGGCCUGUGCUCCCAGCCUCUUUUCCAGGAUUGUGUUAGUAUUAUGGAGGCGCACUGGUCACAGUUCCAUUGUUAAGGUUGAGGUGAAUUUUGCACUUAUCCAUGAAAAAUACAGCAUAUCUUCCCCCAAAUUACAGCAUGUAUUUUGAGAAGAAUGUAGGGGGUGCAAAUGGGAGUUGCAAAUCGAGGGAGAGAUAAAUUGUGCUCUGUGCAUGCAAGGGAGAGCAGAGAACAGGAGAAGUGGAAAUUGUGGUGUAUUUGUGCAGGGGAACGUGGAGGCCAGCUGUGUUCUCUGGCUGCUCUGUGGUGUUCUGGUGACGCAAAGCAGCUUAUAACCUGGUCUAAUUGGCCAAUACACUCUGGCUUCUUUGUGUUGCUUCAGAGUGGCAAAAAGCAACGAUAGUGUACCAAUGAAUCUGGUCCUAAAAGUUAAAAUUCAAAAAAAAUUAUUUAAGGCUGGUAUUAUUAAUCUUCCAGUCAUUAGAGAUAUCCUGGUACAAUUCUCUGUAGUUCUUGUUCAGUAUGUUCAUGUAUGACAUUUUUAAUUAAAAAAAAAAAAGUAUAUUCCCAGACAAAACCUACAUUAGGGUGGAGAUAAAGUUGAGAGUAUCUAUCGGUAAUCUGGGUAAAAUACAUUUUAGGGAUCAUAGAAGUGUAGGAUUGGAAGGGACCUCAAUAGGUCAUCUAGUCCAGUCCUCUACACUCAAGGAAGUACUAAAUAAUAACUUGACCAUUUCUGACAGGUGUUUGUCUAACCUGUUCUUAAAAACCUCCAGUGAUGGCAGUUCCACAACUUCCCUAAUGUGGAUGUUGUAAUUAUAUCAGAAACUAGCAUUAUAAAGCCAGCAGAUAAAAAGUGAAUGUUACACUUAGAAGAAAUCCAAAUAUGUUAAGGUAUAGAAAUGUUAUGUGUAUAAUUUUAUUUAUUUAUAUAUAUAUAUAUAUAAAAAUACUGUCUCUCUCUCUCUCUCAAUCUUACAUCCACAAAGACUCAAAUGCUUUAAUUGUAAUCUGAUAUUGCACAGUGUCACUAUGGGUCAGAGUUAAGGUUGUUUGGCUGCUGUAACUGUCCAUUUGCAUACCUUAAAAUAUUUGGAUUGAUUUUAAACUGUGAUUUUAUUGUAUUAUGGUUAUGUGUCUAGAACCUUAUGUAGGUAUCUUAUUGUUAUGGAUAUCUAAAUGAAAUUAACUUGAGUUUAUAAUGUUUGUUUUUGAAAUAAUUACAUCAUCUAUGUAAUGUAUUUUACCUAAGUUACUGAUCUGACUUCUAGCCUUAACUCAGUCUUAAUAUUGUUUUGUUUGGGAAUUAAUAAUAGCUUUCAGCAAGAAGGGAAUUCAUUCCUAUCUGGAUAAUUCUGCUAACCAGAGCUUUGUGCAGCGAGAAAGCUGAAGUAAGCAGGCACUAAGAUACAGUUUUUUGACCUUCCCAGAUUCAUGAUAAACACAGAAGCCAUACAGAGCCAGGGAAGACAAUCAGAGACCAGGGGUGUGUGUGGUGGGGUGUGACACUUCCUGGGGAUAUCUAGGGUUGUGAAGCACCUCACUACCACCUGAUCUUAGCAUGAGGAAGCCUUGUCCGGCUGCCAUGAGUUAGCUUACCUACUCCACCAGCCAAGGGCAACACAAGCACUUCCAUUUGAGCCUGCGUAGGCUUUUUUGUCUCUCUACAGGUUAGUGAAAGGCACGCUCCAAACCCUGAGCUCUCUGAGAGUCCCACUGGAGUGUCCAGCCCCUGGUCCACUGGAUGUUCACAGUAUUCACAGAUCUGCUGCUUCCAAGUAAGAAACAAUACAGCCCCAACUUGCCAGUUACACCUCAAAUCACUGCUCCCCUUAACACAGGGUGCUUAGAUAUGUUUAUAGUGAAAUUAGGAAUAGGUUUAAUAAAAUACAGCAAUUCAAAGUCAUAGCAAGUAGAAGUAUUGGAAAUAAAUGGUUAUGUAUAAAAUUAUAACACAUUCUAGAGCCUAGACUUAAUUAACAAGAGACUCUCUUGUCUAAUAAAGUAGUGCUCACCAAAGCUUUACAGCCAGGCUGGCUGUGACCCCUCUUUCAUGAGAUAUAACAUGCUGUCAGCUUGCCUUCUCAGUAAAGGGUCCAGGGUGUUAAUUGGCACCACUAGGUAUAUCAGAACAAUCCUUUAUCCUUAUUCAUAAACAGGACCUCACCUCCACUGAUUGUUUCUUCCUGUGGCUUUCCUCUCUUGUGGAUUUCUCAAUCUCUCAAAUGGCGUCGGGGUCAGUAUGCAGAUAGGUGUACACUGUGAGGCAGACAAGGCACAUAUCGGACUAGGAGAGAAGCACCUGUUACGACCUGCCUGAAAAGAACAUUUCUGAGCUAUGUCCCCUCCUGGUGAUCUGCCUUAAUCCCAAGUCUUUAAGAACAUACUUUUCAGUAUAAAUACGUCACUUCUUAAUAAUUAUCUGUACAGGCAUUUCCCAAUGAUGAUGACCAGACUGCUACUGGCUCACAGUGGAGUCCUUAUAUGCCACCCUUUGGUGAACUAAUGUGCAUAUAAACCCUGUGCACCUCGUGUGCUCUCCGCCAAUUGGCUCCAAGGGGCCCUGGGUCACAUGGAGGUGAUAAGGUUACUAUCGGGUACAAAGUGUUCUUUUCACAGGAACGUUAACGAAAGAUGAAGAUUGGUACCUUCUUGUUCUUUUUAUGACACAGAAAUAAGAUCCAGUCUCUAUUGGAGCCUAUUAGGAAUGUUGAUCUUAUGCACAGAUCUGUUCGAAUGGACCAUAGCUCAUGGGACUUUGACUACUGCCAAUCGUCUGUUCUGCAGGCUCUCCACACUGUGGAGAAUCAGACUCGUGCCUAUGAUAGCACGCCUGCUGCAGUUUGGAUAAAUAAAGCAGGGCAAAUAUGAACAACCCUACACCAGAGAGAGGCUUAGAGCAGAGCAAGGUUCCCUUUCUGUGUUCUGCACAUCAAGGAGAAGAUGAACCCCAAAAUUUACUGGUUUACAGGCAGAAGUUAGAUUAAGCAGAGUAGACCCAGCAAGUAAGUGCAGUGAGUUUGGGGAGGAUAUGCUGCAUUCUUCAUAUAUAAUACAAAAUGUUGAAUCCCAGCUUUAAGUGCAAGGCUCAGCGCCACCAUAUCUAUUGAGCUAUGACCAGCACCUCCAUAAUUAGUAGGGUUACAUCCUAAUCUUUGAUGUGCGCACGUUACUGCAUAUGCUCAGAGAAACCACAACUGUAAACAUCUGUGGACUCACAGGGGCAGGUUUUUGAGCCAUGGUCAGUGUAUGCCAGAUUCAAGACUCAGUUUAUAAAAACAGAGAUUUUUGAAAAGCUUAACACUUUUUUAUCUCUUCCUGAUGAAGUCUGGCCAUUUAGCAGCCUUGGUUUAAUUCUCAGACUUAAGUCAUUGAUUUACACUGUGCCACACAGUUACCCUGAUGUGCUAUCAUGCUCCUGGUUGACCUCGUUACUGAAUAUUUAUAUAUUGUUGCCCAUGGGCUUGACAGUGGUUGAUUCUAGGGCCUUGCAAGAGGUGGAAAGAAACUAAUAUAAUGGAGUCAGUUCUGGUGUAACCUGUUUAUUUAUACCAUAUGCUUAUUGACACAAUGCAUGGGAGCCCUCUUACUCUUGAUCUGAGAGAGACCCAGCUACACAUAGGCAGCUCCAGAAUUCUCAGCUCAGUCACCCUGAGCUGCCACCAGAAACAGCUGCCUCCGUCACGGAGUCUUCAGGUCUCCAACCAUCCUCCCAACUACCCCAGACCUUCCCCACAUGGCUGCUCUGUAGCCUCCCAAGCAGGAUCCAGAAUAGCAGAAGCAGGUUCAUCCUUGGCAGAUUCAUCACUGAUCUAUUCUUGGCUGGAAGAUUCAUUAUAAUAUCAGUGAGGCUCCUAUCGUGCUGCUCUCUGGGAUAAAUCUGCACAGAGGUGGUGAUAUAGCUGUAUGAUAAUAUGCAAUGGACACAGAACCAUACAGUUGGGUGCAAUACCGUCUACGGUCUAGAGUUCCAAAUUUGUCCAUGUUUGGAAUGCAGGAUCAAUUUGUCUUUGUGAGAAACCCAGAUCUCCUAAUACUGACCGCACCCAUGAAGUUUUAUAUCUUAUUCAGAGGCCUUUCUCAUCUUGUUCCACAUCUUGAUUGUACCUUGUAUAUAGGGAUGGUUCACAGCUGGAACAUACAAAUAAUCACUCUUACAAAAUCCAGUCUUUAUUAAAGCAGCUGGAGGAGGUGUAAGUUAUUUUAUUCCCAGUCAAGUGCUAUCCAUUGGCUCUUAAGUCUAAUGUGCAAUGUAUUCUAGAAGGAUCGCCUAAAAGUACUUUUUGAAAUCAGCCCAAUAUCACCCUUCUCUUUUGGGCAACUGAAUUUAUUUAUAAAACAACAACAAGGCAUCCUUGUGGUACCUUAGAGACUAACAAAUUUAUUUGGGCAUAAGCUUUCGUGGUCUAUAACCCACUUCAAUAGAUGCAGGACUCCUCAUUGUUUUUGCUGAUACAGACUAACAUGGCUACCCCUCUGAAACCUGAAUUUAUUUAAAGCAACAUGUGAUUUCUUACCCCUCCAUAAGAAAUCAGUGACAAUUCUAUAAAAGUUAACAAAAAGAUUGUUAUUUAAAUUAAAAGGAUACAUCUGGAUGGGAUAUAAUAUCUUGGGCAGGAUAUUACAACUAUUCUACCCAAUAAUGAUAGAGGGAGUUUUCCCCAUAUAAUAAGGUAUUAACAUCAAUAAUUAUUCUGUGUAAUUUUAUAUGAAAAAUUGGCACUAUCAAAACCCUCUGUAUAGCCUAUUUGGUAAUGUAAAGCUUGGGCUUAUAUGAGUUGUAUGAAGAAAGUGUAUUCUAUUUUGUGCACUAUUAUGUCACAUCUGAAUUCCUGAGAAGUUAUUCAACUAUCUAUAGUAAAUGGUUGACCAUACCAAUAUAAUGAUUCCUCAGCUAUUAAGUCAUUCAAAAAGCUCCUGAUUAAAAUGUACAUGUUAAAUAUAUUGUGAAUAUCUGCACCUGUUAAACAUUGAAAUAAACUCUCUGUAGCCUGGUACAACCAAUAUUUUCAUACUUUUAUAUAUCUGACCAAAAAUUAAUUUCCACCUGUCCAGCUAUUCUAAACAAUACCAUGAUGUAAGAAAAGGCCUGAAGUCAAAUUUGGAACUUCCCCAUGCUGAGUGAGAAAAAUGGAUAUGAUUUUGAACUAAAACAAUUCCCUGUGGAAAGAUUAAAUGUCAGGGAAGGAAGUGAAAUAUAUGAAAGCUACUGAAUUUAAAUAUUUGCUUUCUAAGUAAUGCUAAAAAUCAACCACUGGGUCUGACAAGAGGAGAAUUCUUCCACCCCAUCUCCCUCUUCUACUAGAGAAUGGACCUACUGAUUUUGAGUCAGAAAUGUAUCUCCCCUUUACAGUCCAUAUAAUACUGCUUAUGUCUAAAUAUGCUUUAAAAGUUCUCUGUAAACUUUUUUUUAAUUAUACACAAAGCCAGUUGAAACUUCAUUAAUCCAGAACAAAGAGAAAAGAUUAGCACAAAACUUUUAAACAUGAUUCCAGUUAAACCAACUAGAAUGGAAAGGUAGAUUUUUAAAGAUCUUGUUCACUGUCUGAUAGCCAGACCUUAAUUUUUCUGGAAGCUCAAACUACAAUGAACAAGAAAACUGGGCUCCAGAGGAAAGACAUACUAACUAGAUGAAUGGCAGGGGGAGGAAGACAGAGUUGGGGCAUCCCCAAAGUUCUCCUUUGGCUAAGACUAUCUAAAAGUGAGUUUUGUGGAACUGGGCACCAGAACUGUUUUGUGGACUUGGACUGGAAGUGAAUGUGUGCUGAAGUCUCAGCUGCCCAUGACCUGGUUGCACCUCAGAAUCCAUCUCAGCGCUGCUGAGGGCAGCGUCUCAAUCACAGGAGAGAGCAGUGAACAGAAAUAAUAGAAGUUGCUUUAAGGUUUCAGUCCCAACAAUGCUGCCCUGUCAGAAAGGGAGAACGCCCGUUGGGUUUUCUGAUGUCCUGAAAACAAGGAUGGUCCCCUGGGCUAGAGCUCUUUAGCUGUCCCCUUUCCUCUCUGGAGCCCACCAGAAGCACUGGACAAAUCCCUUCCCAUUUUCCUCUCUGUAAAACCCUUUCUGACCUGGUAAUUUUCAGAGUCCCUCAUUAACAGGGAUCUCUCUAUUGGAGCCUGACUGAUGUAGAGUGAUGAUCACAGAUGCCAACCUGUUUGGAUGGGGCUGGCUCUUUCAGGGUGCACAAAAGUUUAGAAGAAAUGAUGUCUCUGCUCCUGUCACUAUUGGGAGGAGAUUAUCAGGGCACUUAGCCCUGGUCUACACUAGGACUUUAGGUCGAAUUUAGCAGCGUUAAAUCGAUGUAAACCUGCACCCGUCCACACAAUGAAGCCCUUUAUUUUGACUUAAAGGGCUCUUAAAAUCGAUUUCCUUACUCCACCCCUGACAAGUGGAUUAGCGCUUAAAUCGACGUUGCCAGCUCGAAUUUGGGGUACUGUGGACACAAUUCGAUGGUAUUGGCCUCCGGGAGCUAUCCCAGAGUGGUCCAUUAUGACCGCUCUGGACAGCACUCUCAACUCAGAUGCACUGGCCAGGUUGACAGGAAAAGAAUCGCGAACUUUUGAAUCUCAUUUCCUGUUUCGCCAGCGUGGCAAGCUGCAGGUGACCAUGCAGAGCUCAUCAGCACAGGUGACCAUGAUGGAGUCCCAGAAUCGCAAAAGAGCUCCAGCAUGGACCGAACGGGAGGUACGGGAUCUGAUCGCUGUUUGGGGAGAGGAAUCCGUGCUAUCAGAACUCCGUUCCAGUUUUCGAAAUGCCAAAACCUUUGUGAAAAUCUCCCAGGGCAUGAAGGACAGAGGCCAUAACAGGGACCCGAAGCAGUGCCGCGUGAAACUGAAGGAGCUGAGGCAAGCCUACCAGAAAACCAGAGAGGCGAACAGCCGCUCUGGGUCAGAGCCCCAAACAUGCCGCUUCUAUGAUGAGCUGCAUGCCAUUUUAGGGGGUUCAGCCACCACUACCCCAGCCGUGUUGUUUGACUCCUUCAAUGGAGAUGGAGGCAAUACGGAAGAAGGUUUUGGGGACGAAGAAGAUGAUGAGGAGGAGGAGGUUGUAGAUAGCUCACAGCAAGCAAGCGGAGAAACCGGUUUUCCCGACAGCCAGGAACUGUUUCUCACCCUAGACCUGGAGCCAGUACCCCCGAACCCACCCAAGGCUGCCUCCUGGACCCAGCAGGCGGAGAAGGGACCUCUGCUGCAUGUGUUUCAAUGAUCACAGGAUCUUCUCCUUCCCAGAGGCUAGUGAAGCUUAGAAAGAAAAAAAAACGCACUCGCGAUGAAAUGUUCUCCGAGCUCAUGCUGUCCUCCCACACUGACAGAGCACAGACGAAUGCGUGGAGGCAAAUAAUGUCAGAGUGCAGGAAAGCACAAAAUGACCGGGAGGAGAGGUGGCGGGCUGAAGACAGGGCUGAAGCUCAAAUGUGGCGGCAGCGUGAUGAGAGGAGGCAGGAUUCAAUGCUGAGGCUGCUGCAGGACCAAACCAGUAUGCUCCAGUGUAUGGUUGAGCUGCAGCAAAGGCAGCUGGAGCACAGACUGCCACUGCAGCCCCUCUGUAACCAACCGCCCUCCUCCCCAAGUUCCAUAGCCUCCACACCCAGACGCCCAAGAACGCGGUGGGGGGGCCUCCGGCCAACCAGCCACUCCACCACAGAGGAUUGCCCAAAAAAAAGAAGGCUGUCAUUCAAUAAAUUUUAAAGUUGUAAACUUUUAAAGUGCUGUGCUUAAAGUGCUGUGUGGCAUUUUCCUUCCCUCCUCCACCACCCCUCCUGGGCUACCUUGGUAGUCAUCCCCCUAUUUGUGUGAUGAAUGAAUAAAGAAUGCAUGAAUGUGAA